CAAAAACAUUAAAAACCAACCCCAAACUUUUGAACGGUCGUGUGAAGUAUAUGAAUAGCAUUAUGAUAUAUAAUAUUUAAUAAUAAAGUUUCAUAAAUAACAACAUUUCGGAAAUGCAUUAACAACACACACAUAUGCACAUACAUAUAAAACCCAACCAAAUCAUGUGCCUUUGUUCUCAAGCCUUUCAGAAGAAUCUCUGCACACAUCACAGGUGCAUUUUUCGCAGAACACGUUUCUAAACACUCAUUUCCCCUCUCCGUUAUUCCCUCCUUCCCAGAGCUCACAGGCUCCCCCUGGAGAAGCACAAUCGCUCUGAUACCAACAUUAAGCUGGAGCUGCAGACAGCCAUUGCCUACUGCAGCCACAUGUCCACUGAUGACACCUCCUUCUCUCCGCAACACACAUAGCCAUCUCUGUUCUCUCCCUUUCCCUCAGCCUGUGUUUUUCCAUACGCAUCUAUUUCCUUUGUCUCUCUGCAUAGGUGUAUGUCUCUCUCUCUCUCUAUCUAUCUCUCUCUCUCUCCUUUCGUUAUCUUCCUCUCUCUCACUCAUUCCUUCAGUCGGUGUCCUAGUCAAGUGCUGUCUAUCAAGUGUCCGGGUCCCAUUGAGAGAAAUCACAUCCCGACCAUCUUUGUCAGCCAGACAACCUCAUGACCCCCAGGGAGGGUGUGAGAAAGCGAGAAAUGUGUUUUUCGGUAAAGGUCUAUCAUUUCCAUCAAGGUCAUGAGUCAAGGGCACCACCGGUUGACAGCCUGCAUAUACUGUAGAAGAGAACAACUGGCAGAGAAGUCGGUCUCCUGGAGACAAAGAGAGCGAGAGAACAAAUGAGGGAGAAUAAUAUGUGAGGUAAAGAUGCAAUAGAAUGACAUCAGCAGUCGAGGGAGUAAUCAUCACUGUGGGGUGACAAAACAGGUAUAUCUGCUGACACUCUAGUCUAAAAUAUGAUGAGUACAGUGAGCUUUUAGCUGCUGUGUCUUCAUAACUUAAAGGCUUCAGCCGACUGUCUGAAUAAGAGAGAAAACACACAAACAAUCACCUAUGAAAAGAUGCUCAAAAACAGAGUACACACACUUGUACUCUAAAACAAAACCCAUUAGUACUAUUAUUAUGCUUAAAUGUGCUGAAAAAAAGGAUGCAUCUAGAGCAAAAUGUUCAGGUUGUAUUUACAAGUGCAUCCCACAUAAAAAUGUGUGACAAAGAAAAGAAAAGUCUGUAUUGGCAAUCAGUGCAACUGUAAGGUUUUGUGAGGAAAAAAAAAACUCUUUAGCAGUGGUUUUAUAUGUUGGUUUCAAACACCUUGUUCAAAACCUUCUUAAAAAAACUAAUAUCCAAAAAAGAAGAUAUUUAUAAGGUUACACUAUUUUGAUAGUUCAUUUUAAACACUCUGCUAACUAUACAGUAAGUAACUUCACAACUAUAUCUUAAACUCUCAUUAAUAUGCAACUAAAUGUCAACUCUUACGUUAGUGGACUAUAGGGCUUUUCACACCCUGGGGUUAUCGUCAAUCUAAACACCGCUUUUAACCACAGGAUUUUGCUAUGGUUUUGACUGUUAUGGUUCAACAUUUCAUUUAAAAUUCAGUUAUUAUGUAUAAUUGACCCACAGAUCACAAAUCACUUUAAUUUCAGAUAAUCUUGAAAACCUAUAAAAGUUCAUUUUAGUCGUGUCUUUCAUUUCUAACCCAUUCAUAAUAAUUAAAAAAAUAUAUAUUUUUAUCAUCCAUUAAUCACUCUAAAAACUAAUUCAGAGGACCUUUAGUCAUUACUUAAAUAUAUAUAUUGUUGUGAAAUAAAAAAUCAAGUUCUGAGAUACUGUUAGACUUU
ensembl:lncRNA